rnacentral:pre_miRNA from 1 species
AAUACAUGACGUUGUUGACUUUUUCUCACAUGUUUGACCAUUCGUCUUAUUUAAAAAAUUUACGUAAUUAUAAUUUAUUUUUGUUAUGAGUUGUUUUAUCACUCAUAGUACUUUAAGUGUGAUUUAUAUCUUAUACAUUUGCAUAAAAUUUUUAAAUAAGACGAAUGGUCAAACAUGUGAGAAAAAAUCAACGGCGUCAUCUAUU